UAUUAACGCAUAUAUUUUAAAAGAUUGGUAUUAGGAAGCACACAUUACUAUAUACUAAAAUGGCUUGAAUAAUCCCGAGUUAUAAACUUUACCGAACGAAACUCUAGUGUUCCGAAGAGCCAUUGGGAACUUCGAGAAAUGUCUGUGAAGUUGCUGGAUUUGAUUAUUCAAAUGACCAUUGGUUUUUGUUGGCCAAAAUGUAAAAGGGUCAGAAAUAGUUCUUAUUGGUGAGAAUCACUGUCAUUUGUUAAUCUGUUGCACGUCAUUUUUAACAUGAAUGAGACAAAUGAAAGUAGUUUGCUGAGGAUUUAUAUGGUGAGGGUCCCGUAGUGCAGGUGUAAUGAUGCCAAACUCGAUAGUGGAGGAAUUUCAAGACAAUACCCUGGCGUGGAUUGCCUCGAUUUGUAGAAAUCUCCCCUCAGAAGACUUAUGCAGUUUGGAAAUAGUGGAAAAGGUGUGCAGGGAGGAAAUCAUAGAAACAGUAAGGAAUCCUUACAGAGACUGUUAAUGUCGUUGCAGAUUACUCUCCAUCACUGCGUAGAUAUGUCUACAAAAAUGCUGGCUACAGAAGAUUUAAGAAAUGUUUUGCAAUUGGACGAUUUGGACCAUUUCAGGAUGAUUUGAUGGUGGACAUAUCGGUUGAGCUACAGAAACUUAAUGUUGACCCAUCUGAUGCUAUUGAAAUCUUCAUGCCAGAGACACUUUUGCAGAUACUCCAACAAAAAGAAGGCAUCAACAGGAUUUUGGCGGAAUAUGUUCUGCAGGGGAACUUUGUUUGAUUUGCCAAUCUAGAAAGUGUGACUGUUGUGAUAUUGGCCACCAAUUGCAUUUUAUUGAGGUUUCAGAUAUUAGAUAAACAAUAGUAGACAGUUAAGCUGUCAAAUCAAGCUGGCCAAUUACUACCUAGAUGGACACUAAAGUGAAGUUACUUAGGUAAAGACUAUCAAUGUGCUGUCUAGCUUCGUAGCCAUGUUUACAACACAACAUGCUGUCAACGAUUUCAUAACAUACCCAACCUGAAAAAAUAUUGGCAAAUAAAAUGUUAUAAAACUGGCCAUUUAUGUUGAUUAAACUGUAUUAUUUGUGAACAAAAUCUUAUCAUGAAAUAUUCAAAUUUUUGCUUAAAACCAAAGGUGUUUUUUCCUUCCAAAAAUGUGCUUUAGUGCAUUGAUAUGUGUUAAUCUUGCUAUGACCAGCAUUUUCAUCAAUCAUCUGCAUUUUAGUUUACAAAACCUUGACAGGUCUGCUGGUGUGUUAGUUCUUGUUGUAUGUUUGGCAUGAGAGCUUUUAUAUCCUCACAUUUGCUGUGAAGUAAAAAAAAUAUGUCACUUUAUUAAUUAAGGCUAUCAUAUUUAUAAUCUUAUAUGGUUGAUAUUGUUUGUGGCUCACCUGCGAUUGAUAUAAUGAAGGUCGGACUUAUACAAAUUUUCCAGUGCUGUUUAGCUUGGUUUCCCUAAAAGUCUUAAGUGCUAGACUAUUCAAAUUUGGACCAUAGUUCAUCUUAGCUUCAGUUUCAGUAUUUGUUCCAGACUUUGAAUCAUAACCCAGUGACUGUUAUCCUCACCAAUACUAAGCUUUUUGUAAAAUAUUCCUCAUCAGUGUUAAUGAUUUCAUUUUCUGAUUUUCUAAAUUUCAUUGAAGUUGAUUAUCAAAGCAGGGACAGACAAACACAACUAUGGAAGUCUGGUAUAAGUUAAUGACCUUUGUGUAUAAACUUAUUAUAAUAUUCAACCUAAAUAUGUUCUCCUUUAAACAACUUGGUAAAGGUAUAACAUAUCAUAUUCUAUUCAUAUCGCCUUGGUUUGUAGACAUAUGAAAAAACAUUGCAAAUUGAAUUAUAUUUGUUUUUGUGCGGAAAUACAUGUAGUUUUACUACCUCAAAAUGUUAUGUUCAU
rnacentral:misc_RNA from 1 species